CUCUGUGACUCCUACGGGAGGCAGCAGUGGGGAAUAUUGCACAAUGGGCGCAAGCCUGAUGCAGCCAUGCAGCGUGUAUGAAGAAGGCCUUCGGGUUGUAAAGUACUUUCAGCAGUGAGGAAGGCGGAGUCGUUAAUAGCGGCCUCGUUUGACGUUAGCUGCAGAAGAAGCACCGGCUAACUCCGUGCCAGCAGCCGCGGUAAUACGGAGGGUGCGAGCGUUAAUCGGAAUUACUGGGCGUAAAGCGCAUGCAGGUGGUUCGUUAAGUCAGAUGUGAAAGCCCGGGGCUCAACCUCGGAAUUGCAUUUGAAACUGGCAGACUAGAGUACUGUAGAGGGGGUAGAAUUUCAGGUGUAGCGGUGAAAUGCGUAGAGAUCUGAAGGAAUACCGGUGGCGAAGGCGGCCCCCUGGACAGAUACUGACACUCAGAUGCGAAAGCGUGGGGAGCAAACAGGAUUAGAUACCCUGGUAG
rnacentral:rRNA from 1 species